ensembl:piRNA 21ur-928 ncRNA
UUCAGGAACGUUACUCAUUAG